rnacentral:snRNA from 1 species
GUGCUCAUUUCAGCAGCACAUAUGCUAAAAUUGGAACGAUACAGAGAAGAUUAGCAUGGCCCCUGUGCAAGGAUGACAUGCAAAUUCAUGAAGCGUUCCAUAUUUUU